rnacentral:rRNA from 1 species
AUACGUAGGUGACAAGCGUUAUCCAGAUUUACUGGGCGUAAAGGGCGUGUAGGCGGUCUUGCAAGUCAGAAGUGAAAUUCCUGAGCUCAACUCGGGCGCUGCUUCUGAAACUGCAGGACUUGAGUGCUGGAGGGGAUAGCGGAAUUCCUAGUGGAGCGGUAAAAUGCGCAGAUAUUAGGAAGAACACCGGUGGCGAAGGCGGCUAUCUGGACAGUAACGGAAGCUGAGGGGCGAAAGCUUGGGGAGCAAACAGGAUUAGAUACCCUGUUAGUCCACGCCGUAAACGAUGAAUACUAGGUGUAGGGGGUAUCGACUCCCUCUGUGCCGCAGUUAACACAAUAAGUAUUCCGCCUGGGGAGUACGGCCGCAAGGUUGAAACUCAAAGGAAUUGACGGGG